rnacentral:rRNA from 1 species
GCUUCUCUUGAGAGCGGCGGACGGGUGAGUAAUGCCUAGGAAUCUGCCUGGUAGUGGGGGAUAACGCUCGGAAACGGACGCUAAUACCGCAUACGUCCUACGGGAGAAAGCAGGGGACCUUCGGGCCUUGCGCUAUCAGAUGAGCCUAGGUCGGAUUAGCUAGUUGGUGAGGUAAUGGCUCACCAAGGCGACGAUCCGUAACUGGUCUGAGAGGAUGAUCAGUCACACUGGAACUGAGACACGGUCCAGACUCCUACGGGAGGCAGCAGUGGGGAAUAUUGGACAAUGGGCGAAAGCCUGAUCCAGCCAUGCCGCGUGUGUGAAGAAGGUCUUCGGAUUGUAAAGCACUUUAAGUUGGGAGGAAGGGCAUUAACCUAAUACGUUAGUGUUUUGACGUUACCGACAGAAUAAGCACCGGCUAACUCUGUGCCAGCAGCCGCGGUAAUACAGAGGGUGCAAGCGUUAAUCGGAAUUACUGGGCGUAAAGCGCGCGUAGGUGGUUUGUUAAGUUGAAUGUGAAAUCCCCGGGCUCAACCUGGGAACUGCAUCCAAAACUGGCAAGCUAGAGUAUGGUAGAGGGUGGUGGAAUUUCCUGUGUAGCGGUGAAAUGCGUAGAUAUAGGAAGGAACACCAGUGGCGAAGGCGACCACCUGGACUGAUACUGACACUGAGGUGCGAAAGCGUGGGGAGCAAACAGGAU